UUCGGGGCCGCACGCGCGCUACACUGAAGGGAUAAGCGUGUUUUUCCUGCUCCGAAAGGAGUGGGUAACCCGCUGAAACCCCUUCGUGAUUGGGAUCGGGGCUUGAAAUUAUUCUCCGUGAACGAG
rnacentral:rRNA from 1 species